UACGAAGGGUGCAAGCGUUACUCGGAAUUACUGGGCGUAAAGCGUGCGUAGGUGGUUUGUUAAGUCUGAUGUGAAAGCCCUGGGCUCAACCUGGGAAUUGCAUUGGAUACUGGCAGGCUAGAGUGCGGUAGAGGAUGGCGGAAUUCCCGGUGUAGCAGUGAAAUGCGUAGAGAUCGGGAGGAACACCCGUGGCGAAGGCGGCCACCUGGGCCGACCCUGACGCUGAGGCGCGAAGGCGUGGGGAGCGAACGGG
rnacentral:rRNA from 1 species